CGUGUGGGUGUUUUAGUCUAACUGGACUACUAAAGAGUUGGAGUAGAAUUUGAAUUAGGUGGUUGAGGGAGGGGUAGACGGUUUUUGGGGAGUGGAUUGAGGGAUUUAGGGAGAAAAGUAAAGAGUGGAGGCGUUUGAGUUGGAGUGGGAUGCUGAAUGGUUGGAAUGGAUGUGGUUUAGUGGAGUAAAUCAAGGAGUUUGGGGAGUUACCCUUUGAUUUCAAAAAUCUCUGUAGAACUCUCCUCUAUCAUAUUUCAUUUUUAUUUUUUAUUUUUUCUGCCUCCAUAGUCAAAUUCCGUCCCUUUCUUCCUCACCGUCUUUUUGUUUUCUUUGGACUUCAAUCUUCCUGUGUUGCUUCUGAGAUUUCGAGUGCUUUCCCUCUACUUGCCGAAUUUUUC
rnacentral:lncRNA from 1 species